UGGGGAAUAUUGGACAAUGGGGGCAACCCUGAUCCAGCGAUGCCGCGUGAGUGAAGAAGGCCUUCGGGUCGUAAAGCUCUUUAGGUUGGGAAGAAGGUUGUGUGGGGAUAAUCCAUGCAAUUUGACGGUACCGACAGAAUAAGCACCGGCAAACUCUGUGCCAGCAGCCGCGGUAAUACAGAGGGUGCAAGCGUUAAUCGGAAUUACUGGGCGUAAAGGGCGCGUAGGCGGUGAGAUGUGUGUGAUGUGAAAGCCCCGGGCUUAACCUGGGAAGUGCAUCGCAAACUAUCUGACUGGAGUAGAUGAGAGGGUGGCGGAAUUUCCGGUGUAGCGGUGAAAUGCGUAGAGAUCGGAAGGAACGUCAAUGGCGAAGGCAGCCACCUGGCAUCAUACUGACGCUGAGGCGCGAAAGCGUGGGGAGCGAACAGG
rnacentral:rRNA from 1 species